rnacentral:rRNA from 1 species
AGUGAACGCUGGCGGUAGGCCUAACACAUGCAAGUCGAACGGCAGCACAGAGGAGCUUGCUCCUUGGGUGGCGAGUGGCGGACGGGUGAGGAAUACAUCGGAAUCUACUCUGUCGUGGGGGAUAACGUAGGGAAACUUACGCUAAUACCGCAUACGACCUACGGGUGAAAGCAGGGGACCUUCGGGCCUUGCGCGAUUGAAUGAGCCGAUGUCGGAAUAGCUAGUUGGCGGGGUAAAGGCCCACCAAGGCGACGAUCCGUAGCUGGUCUGAGAGGAUGAUCAGCCACACUGGAACUGAGGCACGGUCCAGACUCCUACGGGAGGCAGCAGUGGGGAAUAUUGGACAAUGGGCGCAAGCCUGAUCCAGCCAUACCGCGUGGGUGAAGAAGGCCUUCGGGUUGUAAAGCCCUUUUGUUGGGAAAGAAAUCCAGCUGGCUAAUACCCGGUUGGGAUGACGGUACCCAAAGAAUAAGCACCGGCUAACUUCGUGCCAGCAGCCGCCGUAA